CACCAUGUUGGCCAGGCUGGUCUCGAACUCCUGACCUCAGGUGAUCCGCCCACCUCGGCCUUCGAAAAUGCUGGGAUUACAGGCGUGAGCCACCGCGCCCGGCCAGCUCCAAUACUUUCAUGGAUGCAAAGAACACAACCCCUGCAACCGCUGCAUGCGGGCAUCUCUGCUGCCCAAGCCCGGGGACAGGCGCUUUCGCAACGCUGCAGCACGAGAUGAAAACUCACUAUGCUGCCCAGACUCGUCUCGAACUCCUGGGUGUCACGCGUGUCCGUAUAGAAGACCACCUAAACAGGCUUUGUGUUCACGUGUUGAAAUCCUAACUCCAAAUAUGAUGAUAGGAGGAGAUGGGGCCUUCGGGAGGUGAUGAGGUCAUGAGGGUGGAAUCCUCAUGAAUGGUCUCAACGCCCUUAGAAAAGAGACCCCAGAGACCUCGCUCCCGCUUUCUACUGUGGGAGAAUGCAGCAAGAAGUCAGCCGUCUAUGAACAAGGAAGCAGGUCCUCUCCAGGCACUGAAUGUACCAGUGCCUUGAUCUUGGACUUCCCAGCCUCCAGAACUAUGACAAUAAAUUCUGUUGUUUAAGCUACAUGGUCUAUGAUACUUUUGUUAAAGAAGCCCAAAGUGACUAAGACAGGCAUCAAACAAUAUAUUGUCCUUUGUGAUGGAUCCUUUCACUUUGCAUAAUGUUUUCAAGGUCUAUCCAUUUUAUACCACAUAACAGCACCUCCUUUGCUUUCAUGGCUGAAUAAUAUUCCAC
rnacentral:lncRNA from 1 species